rnacentral:antisense_RNA from 1 species
UCCCAUUGGACCUGACCGACCUACAGUGUCUGUGGCAGACAUGUUUUUCUAAUGACCCGUCAAAAUUGGUUUCUAGUUUGUCUCCUUUACAAACUUUGUCUCUAGAUAGCUGGUGGUUACCUCAUAGUCAUAUAGUAACUACUGUCAGUCUUGCUAGUGAGAACCCUAAUAUUGUGCGUAGUGUAAGUAGGUCACCUGAAGCUCUUAGACGGCCUCUCGGUAAAAUGUCUCGAUGUUUCGCACGUCAGUGA